rnacentral:rRNA from 1 species
GCCUACGGGGGGCAGCAGUGAGGAAUAUUGGUCAAUGGUCGGGUGACUGAACCAGCCAAGCCGCGUGAGGGAUGAAGGUACAGAGUAUCGUAAACCUCUUUUGUCAGGGAACAAAGGCGGGGACGUGUCCCCGGAUGAGUGUACCUGAAGAAAAAGCAUCGGCUAACUCCGUGCCAGCAGCCGCGGUAAUACGGAGGAUGCGAGCGUUAUUCGGAUUUAUUGGGUUUAAAGGGUGCGCAGGCGGUCUGUUAAGUCAGCGGUCAAAGCCCGGGGCUCAACCCCGGCCCGCCGUUGAAACUGGCAGU